rnacentral:lncRNA from 1 species
UGGCCAUAAUCCUUGUGUAGGCAUUCAAGGCUGAUUUCGAGACUGUGUUGGCAGAGAGAAAAGUAGGCCAGCUUUUAGCUUCUAAUGAUCCCUCCUUGAAAUCCUUUAGAAACACAUUCAACACCUCAUCCACUCUCUCUUCUGUGAGGUUUUCAGCAUCACUUAACACUCCUUUAGCCCAUUCAUUUUUUAUAUUCUGUAACAACACAACAAUAAUAGUAAGGUGAGCAGGCAUUUUCUAGGAGCACAUUUCUCAAUUUGGAAAUAAAAACUCAAAAUUUAAAGAAAGUCCCUUCACCAAUGUCUCAAGAGAAGGCCAGUUGGGAAUAAAAGAAAAGAAACAUUGAAUGAUUCACGCAUACAAAAGCCAACAGCUCUUAAUCAUUCACAAGAGAUCAUUUUCAGAAAUAUGGGCAACCCAUGUACGUUAUAUUCAUAUCAUACCAUGUAUUACCCCCUAUGCGAGAGUAUCGAUCAACACUUUCCUUGAUGUGGUUUUCUUCCAAACAAACAAGAUGUGACAACUAGUAAAUUUUUUGUUGCUAAUCUAAACUUCAAUAAGCUCACUAAAAGCAUUUUGGUCCGUUGAAUUAACCAAAGCAAAUUUUGAGUGGAGUUGAAAUGAAAUUUCAGUACCAAACUUGACCCCACCUAGUUUCAAAUGGACUCUAUGUGGCUCUCGUUCAAGUCAAAUUGCAGUUCCAAACUUGGUUGAACAUGUGAGAUGGGUGCCACCACUUUAUUUUUGUUUGAGGAUUAAUGUCAAAUUUUUGUACCUGCAACCUCCCCAUUGAGGAGGAGACGUUAACAAUCCUUGGCGAAUCUGAUAACCGGAGAAGAGGAAUAAGCACUUCACUCAUCCUCUUCGGCCCAUAAUAGUUUAUUUUCAUGCAUUCUUCUGCCAGCUCGAAAGGCUCAAUCAUUAUUUCUUUCCAAUUGAUUUUUCCUACUUUUGCCUGCAUUAUUAAAAGAAAAACUCAAUUCUCCAGGCAGCCAUUACACCCCUACUCCACUGACCCAAAAAAAAGGAGAAGAACAACAAAACUGUGUCAGGCAGUUUUCUAACUUUUGGCAAAGCUUUAAUACAAAACAGUUUUUUCAAAAUUUGUUCUGAAAAUAGAUUACCAUAUUUAUAACAAUUUGAAGUGUUUCAAUUGGGAUUUUUUUUUUUUUAUAUAGAGUAUUAUGAGCAACAAUUGAAAAUAUGAAAAAUAUUUUACAAACUAUUACAUUACACGUAAGUGUAUAAACCCUUAGAAUAAGCCAAGAAACUUGUUUUUCAUAUUUGAGUUCUCAACAAGAACUGUUCAGAACAAUCUUUGAAAGCAUUGCCAAAUAGGCUUACUCUUUCUCCUUUUCCAAAUAAUCACUCCAUGUGCGAUCUUUUAGCCAUCCACACUCACUUAAUUUCAGCCAACAAAGAAAUUAUAUACGAAGACAUACCCGAGCAGCAGGGAUUCCUAAUCUGAAGCCAUCAGGAUCUGUUACAAGCGUUCCAAUUAUCCCUGCAUUGUUCACCUGUUCAGAAGUCCACAAUGCCAAUUACCCAAUUUUUAACCAUAAACUGAAAAAAUAAAGUAACCAUUUAGAGGCCAUCUAUUCCUCAAGAACUAAUCAUAAGAUUCACUUCAAAAUUUUCAAGAAUUAUAAGUGGGUAAGGAGAAUUCUUCAUUUGGGUGGUUGUGCAUCAUAUAAAAGUAGUCUAUCACAGUACAUAAAGCAUAAAAAUUGAAACUCAAAGCAUUCAAACUCCCAAUAUUAAGUUCUAAUCCAUUGAAAUUGACCAUCUUCACAAAGCAUCAAAAUCAUCACAGACAUAUCAUAUCAAAAAGGAGGGCAAAAUCAAGGGAAAAAUUGGGUAAGUGGGUAUCCCACAAAUUUUCAAUUCCGAAGCAUUCUACAUAUUUGACUUGAACAACAAAAACCCAGAAAAGAAAAAAGAUGGAAAUGAGGGUUUAAAUGAUACCAAAAUAUCAAGCUUCCCAAACUGGGUUUUGAUGAAAUCUGCAAGGGAGGCAAUGCUGGCAGGGUCCCCAACAUCAAGCUGAUGAAAAACCACAUUAGAGAGACCAGAUCCUUUGAGACUUUCAAGAGCUUCAACACCUCUCUUCUCAUCUCUUGCUGUUAACACCACUAUCACCCCAUUAGCAGCCAACUGUCUACAUAUUUCCAACCCAAUUCCUUUAUUUGCUCCUGUAAUAACUGCAUACCUGAAAAGAUACAAUGUAGAACAAAAUAAGCACAGUAGUUGCCGUUUAUGUGUUUGGAAAUUAUAAAUAAAAAAAUACAGAAUAAAAGAGUUAAAAAAAAAAGGGGCCAUGGGAGAAAAACCCAAGUACCUGUUUGUUGCUUCAGCCAUUGUUCUGGAGUUGGGAAUGCUGUGUGAAGUGAGAAACUAGGCUUGUGGAAGGCAAUUGAUUUGUAUUUCUCAAUUUUAUUUUAUUUUUUGCGGUACCCAUGAGUCAAAACUCAAAGAACACAAAUAGAUAAGAUUUCAAUGCGCUUCAAUUUUUUUGAAAAAUGAAACUUAAAUGAAUUUGUGAACCAGUCUAUAAUUAUUUCAAAAUAUUGUAAAAUUAUGAGUUAUAUUAUUUAUCCCAAAAUAUUCCCCUUUUAUUAUUCAUAUAUUUGUUAUGGAUCGUCUCUCACUUAAUUUUUUAAUUAGGUGGAUAAUAUUUUUUGAAUCACUUCAAGUUAUUCAAUAUUAAUGAUUUCAACACGUGUGAAUUUCUUUAAAAACUAUGAUAGUAAUAAAAUGUUUAGAAAAUUUUAUUAGAUUAUAGAAUUAAUCUAAUCCAAACCCAAUUUAUUAAUAAUCCAAUUUGACAGUCUAGAACUCAGUUUCUAAACAAACCAUGCAGCAACUAAUAAUUUUAUCAUGUUAAAAAUGACAACUUGCUUGCUCUUAACAUGAUUCUUCCAUAUAAACUUGAUGAAAGUAUUCAAGACUUCUUUUUAUAUAUUUUUCUCUUUUUAUGUUCCUAAUACCUUGAAACAAAAUGUGUAACUAAUUACAUCAUGUCAAUACUUGUUAUUAAAAAUAUUAAAUUUAUUUUUUAUAAUUAUAUUUUUAGUCAAAUAAAUUUUAUGUGAAUACUUGUUAAACAAUGUAAUUUUCUUUUAAUGGUUGAUAAUUAAUUUUAUUUUUAGAAAGAUAAAUAGGUUAGUAGAGUUAACAACUAUUGUACGAAAUAAUUUACCUAAGAAUUCAUGUUUUCAUUGACCCAAUGAGAAAAUAUAAUAAGUGAAAGCAAUUUGAUACUGAAUUAAUUACUCACUAAAUACAAGAUUAAUACAAUAUGAAAUCAAUUCUAUAAUAAAAUAAAUAAACAAAUAAAUAAAAUAUAUUAAGAACGAAGAAGCAAUGAAUAGAUGUUUUUAGAUUCAAUAUUACUUUGGUAUUGUAUGGAUAUAUGCUAUUAUUGUAUAUUAUCGAUCAUUAUUUUUUUAUAAAAUGAAUAAAUGUUUAAAAAAUAUUUUUGAGAUAAGGAGAAAGGGUUAAUUUUCUUAUAAUUUAAAAUUUUAAUGUAAAUAUACUAAGUUACCAUAGGUUUUAGAUUUCAUUCAUCAUACUAUAAAUGUAUUUCAUAUAUAAAUUUUAUUUUUUGAAAAUAAAAUUUUAUUUUUAAAAAAUUAUUUAAUAUUCCUAUCUAAAAUAUUUUAUGUCAAAUUUCUUCCAAAAAUAAAUUUAUGGGAUUGCCAAUGAAGAGAUUUGAAAACAAAUAUAGGAAGAAUAAAUAAACGAGAGGGAAAUGUACCUGAGGGAGGCCAUGCUGGUGUGGAUGAGAGUGGUGGCUGUGAUUAUGGAUCGUGGGGAUGUGUCUUGCUUUUAAAUGAAUACCCAGAAGAGAAGAAACUGCUGUGGUGGGCAGGAAACUUCCAAAGAAGCUCAGAGACUGGAAAAGAAAAUGAUGGGUUUGACGGGAACCUCAGCUGCAGUCUCCAUGCUGUUUGAAAUGGCCCUGGGUAUCGGUGAUAGGUCGUGUAUGGGUGAGGUGGUGAGGCUGUGAGUACUGGAUGGUGAGUAGGUGGAGAUGGAGUUGUUGCUGAAGGUGCUGGUGGGUGUUGAGGUUGGAAAUGGUGGCGCUGCGGUGAGGGUGGUGGGGUUUAAGAUGAUGGCUGUAAGCGGUGGCUAUGGAUGGUGGGAGAUGAAGAGAGGAGCUGUAGCCUUGUAGGAAGCGGUGGGUUUGAGGUUGUAAUCCUGGGUGCCUCCAAAUUUCGAGUAUUUUCGACCUGCCUUUCUCUCCCCGGAAGGAGGGAAAUCCUCUACUUUUUUUGUUGGAUUAUUUACCCCAUCAUUACCUAAUACCUACCCAAGUUUUUCAAAAUAUUUCAUAAAAUUUAAGUUAUUAAACAGUAGAAUAAAUAAAUAAAUAUAUAUAUAUAUAUAUAUAAAGAUUAAAAUAUAAAAUAAGAAAAUUAAAGCAACACCCAAAUAAAAUAAAAAAAUGAUUUUGGUACCAUAGGUGGAACCUUUUGUUUUUUCUCUUCUGUCACAUGCGUUCCUUUUUGUCUUUUUUCUUUUUCAAUCCACCAUCUCAAAAUCUACUCCAUCACAAAAUACCACAAGGCUUGCUUUCUUUCUCUCCCGGUAUCAAUCCAAGCCUCAUAUGGUUUGUAUGUUUUUCCCUUUUUCUUUUUCUUUUUUCUUUUAAGUUCGUUGACCACUUUAAUGCUUUUUUUUGGUACCAUAGGUGGAACCUUUUGUUUUUUCUCUUCUCUCACAUGCAUACCUUUUUGUCUUUUUUCUUUUUCAAUCCACCAUCUCAAAAUCUACUCCAUCACAAAAUACCACAAGACUUGCUUUCUUUCUCUCCCGGUAUCAAUCCAAGCCUCAUAUGGUUUGUUUGUUUUUCCCUUUUUCUUUUUCCUUUUUCUUUUAAGUUCGUUGACCACUUUAAUGCUUUUUUUUUUCCCCUUCGUUAGGGAAUUUUUUAAUUUUGCUACUUGACUUAUUUGGUACCCGAAAGAAUCUAAAGUUUCAUGGCUCCAUUUUAGGGUGAGUUCAACUAUUAGGAUUUUCUCCACCUAUAUCCUUUAGAAUAUUUGAUGGACGGUUUUUUUAGAACUUAGCAUUAGGAAUUUAGACAGAGAUCCCAGUAUUAGGAUUGUAAUUUAUGUUCAUGUAAUGUGAAAGAUCAAACAUUUAACUAAAUAAAUCAAUUCAAAUACGAUAUGCAUAAUAAUUAGGCUCAUAUGAAUCCAAAUAAGAUGUAAUUUUUAAAUAAGUAAUAUGUUGUAUAUUUAAUCCAUUUAAUAAUGAAAUAUUAUUUAAUAAUCAAAUUAAGUUAGUUAUUAUAUUAAUUUAUAUGAUUAGCCUCUCAAUAUAAUAUGAUUAUGAUUCAAUUUUUACCUAUUUAUUUUAAAAUCAAAUUUUAAAUGAGUUAAAUAGGUUUUAAAUAUAAUUAAGUUAAUUAACACAAUUAUUAAAUAGAUCAAUUUGAGGUACAUUUGUUUAAUGCAAAUCAAUCCAAAAUAACUCAUUUAUUAAAUAAAUUUAUACAAGCCAAUAUGAAUUUGAUUCAAAUAAGAUUAUGUUAAACUCAAACCAACAAAAAAAAGAGUCAAAUGGUAUAAAACUUUAUCACUCCUCCAUUUGCCCUCUAAUUCCAACUCCGAACUCAACCACUUUUUGUAGAGCUUGGGAUGCUAGUCUACUCUUAGUUUGGGCACAUUUUAAAGAGGGCAGAGUCGAAGCCUGCUCCCCUGCGCCUAAUCCAUUAUUUGCUUUUGAGUUGGAUCAUGGAUGACAUUGAGCUCUAGUCUAAGUUUCUCCACAUUUAAGGAGUUGGACUCUUAGCCUGCUUGCCAAAAUGUGGCUGAACUCAAAGUAGGCACUAAAGAGCAAGCUCCAUAAAAUGUGGUUAAUGUCUAAUAGCACGAUUGCCAAAUUCACAGUAUGCACCUAAGAAACAAGUUAAGAGUCUCCUCCCCAGAUUAUAAGUAAACUUAAGAGGAACAUUGAAGGGAAGGCAAGGCAAGGCAAGGCACACGAGAUAGUAGGCAAGGUUGGUUAUGUUGGGCUUGCCUGAUCCAUGUCUAGGCUGGGCCACUUUGCUUAGACCCAACUUUCCACAUGAGCGGCCCAAGCUUACAGCACAUUUUUAUGGAAGAAACGAUGAGCCGAUAGGGUACUGGCCUGAGGGUUUGUUGAGAAAUUUCACGAGCCAUGCAACCACAGCAGUAUGGGGAGGAACAGCUGUUGGGGAAGAUCCUUUUCCACCAAUGGGAAGCGGCCAUAAGUUCACAGAAUCGCUGGAGGGAGGCUACGGGUCUGCAUGUUAUAUUAGAGGGAUGAAGGUUGUAGAAAAAUUGGGAGGGAAUUUCACUGAUGUUAAUGAUGGUAUGCUUACAAAAUUUGAGAACCGUCCCAUAUGCUACACUGUGGGGGGGUCAGGGGUUAUGGAAUUUUUGUUGGAGGGGCUGGUGGACUUUGUGGAUACAGCGGAUUAUAAUUAUUUUAUGUGUUCAUUUCGAUGCCGUAGAAUUCUCUAUAUAUUAUUUUAUGAUAUGAAUAAUAAUAAUGUUUGUGUACAUGAUGUUUUUAUAAUUUUGCUAUCUUCCUCUUUAAUCACUUCUGUUUCUGUACUCAAUAAUCAAAUUCCUAAAACUAAACCAACCAUCCAUUGAAUUAGAUUGUCUAAAUAUUUUUUUUUUAAAUAAUAAUAAUUUUUGGAAGAGGUUGGACUGGUUUGAUUGAUUAUGUUAAUGUUGUGACAUAAACAACUAAGAAAGGGUGCUUACAAACUUUAGAAUAAGUUUAUAUAUUUAGUUACAUUCAUUUACAAGUUGAUAAACAUAAAAAUUAUGUGCAUUAAAAAUGUAGUGAUUUUUUUUAGGAUAAUAGAAUGAUAAAGGAUAUGUGAAUAAAGUUUAUUUAAAAAAAAAGAAGAUUUUGUGUGAUUUUUUUUAGAUGUCCUUAAUAGUUGAAUUUUGUAUUUGUUUUAUUAAAUGAAAUUUGAAAUGCUAAAUAUACAUUUAUAUUGAAUAAAUAUCAUGAUUAUAUUUCUAUAAAUGUUAAUAUUAAAUAUAAAAAGUAAAAUGGAAUAUAUAUUCAAUUUAUAUUUCUAUAAAUGUAACUCCAUUAUAAGUGGAUAAAUAUUUUUGUAGUCGAUUUAUCCUGUGCUAGAAUUAAGCUUGUUGUUAAUAUGUAUAUUUUCCUUUCUAACAAUUAUAUGAAUUACUCAAACAAUCUCAAUUAUUCUCUGUUAUGAUGGUAGAAAAAUAAGAAUUUGUUUUGUCGUAUGAUUUAAAAAUAGUUUUUUAUUUUUAAAAAAUAGAAAAUUGUUUUUAAAUUUUUUUAAUAUUGUUUGAUUGUUGUUAUUUGAAAACAAUUUUUAAAAAUAAAGUAAAAUAUAAAAUAAUUUUUAAAGAAUUAGAAAUUAUUUUCACCAAUUUUUAAAAACAAAAGGAAACUAUAAACCCAUUUACCCAUGUUUUUUUAAAAACAAGUUUUAAAAAACAUGACUAUUUGGGACUUAGAUUAUUACUAUUUGGGACUUAGAAAAAAUAUGCAACAAUUUAAAACAAAAAAAAAAGGUGUGAAGUCGUGGAUAUCCCUUUUGUGGUCUCCUAAAAUGAAAAUAUUCUAAGUGAGCACCCUUUUCAAAGGUCCUAUCGACCAAUAUUCAAGUGGCACUUGUGGCUCUUUUUUCCUUCUAUAUACUUUAAAUCAUUCUACAAUUAUUUUUAAAAACAAUAAAUAAAAAAUAAGUGAAGAAAACUUAAAAUAAUUAAAAUAUAUUCUUUGAAAAUACCUUAUUUUUUAAAUGAAUUUUAGAAAAUUAUUUCUGCUAAAUAAAUCUAAAAACAUUUUUUUAUUUUAAAAAAACAAAAAACUAUUUUUAAAUAUAAUUCACAAAUAGGUUCAUAAUGUUUUUUAGAAUAAAAGUAUAUUUGGAGAAGAUUAUUAAAAAAAUUUAUUGGGAAAAGCUCUUAAUAUUUUCUAAAAUAAAGCAUGUUUGGCCAUAUGAUUUAAAAAUGGUUUUUUGUUUUUAUUAAUAAAAAAUUGUUUUAAAAAACUUUUAAUACUAUUUGACUGAUGUUAUCUAUAAAUAAUUUUUAAAAAUAAAGUGAAAAAGAGAAUAAUUUUUAAAAAAUAAGUGGAAGUUGUUUUAACAAGUUUUUAAAAAUAAAAGGAAAACAUGAAUCCAUGUGAUCAUGUUUUCUGAAAUUUGUUUUUAAAAAACAAUUUUUAAGUUAAAAAAUAAAAAAUAGUUUUUAAAAACAAGUAUUAAAAAGUUUGGUCCAACGAUCCAAUUUGUUUAAAAACUUAGACCCUAUUUAAAAUAUUCACAAACAUACUUUUGUUAUAAACAACAUCAAAGAACAGUUUUUUAAAUUUAUUUUCCAAAACAAUUUUUAAAAGCAAUUAGUAAACAUAAUUUUAGAAUAUUUUCAACAUUUUUUAUGUUUUCAAAUAUUUAUAAGUAUUUUAUUUUUAAAUUAUUCCCCGUAUUUAUAUAAUUAUAUUUUAAAAUCAUUUUUAAAAAUAAUUAAAAUAUAUUCUUAAAAAAAUACUCUAUUCUUGUGAAAUUUUUCAAAAACCCGGAACAUCAACAACCAUGUUUUCUUUUUCAUUUUUUUUCUCAAAAACGAAAAUUUUUCCUUCACAUCCGAAUCCAAACACAUAAUAGAUUUUUUCUUUUUCUUUUAUCGGUUAUUCUAACCCAAAUAUUCAAAACUAUUCAGGAGAAGUUAACACAUUGAAAUUUCAUAAUUAUCCUUAUUUUGAAUAAAAAUACAUUCAAAUUCCUAAAACUAUGGUUUCAAAAUCAAAAUAGAGAAGAUAAAGGAGAUUAGAAGUCAAAUUUCAUCAAUAUUUUAAUGGAGAUUUAUUCAAAGUAAUAUUUUUGGAUAAGAAGAAAUAAUUUUUUUUAAAAAAAUUCAUAAUUAUCCUUAUUUUGAAUAAAAAUACUUUCAAAAUAAAACUCCAAGAUAUAAAAUUCAAGCUUAUAUUCUCCCCACCAUUCAUUUUAAUCUUUGGGUUUUGUGUUUUUCUUUCUUCUUUUUCCAUAUAUCAGAAAUGGUCUUGUUCCUUAGCCAGCCUGAACUCAGCGUGGGUGUUUUUCAGGGAAUGUUGCAGGGGAUAUUAGGAAAAAGAAAGGCAAAGAGACCAAACAAACCGUAUGGAACUGAAUGGAGACGCGUCAAAAUUUUGGCAUGUAGGAAUUGUAGAACCCCCUUCUCCUCUACUUCGACUCACCCCAUACAGAAGGUAAUGUCUCUACAUUCUUUUACUUUCUUGGUAUUUAUUUUUUCUGCCAUUUAUGAUUUAUUUUAUUAUAUUUUUAGGUGAAUGGCCUCGAUGGGGAACCCUAUCCAAAUUGUUAUCAUGUUAAAGAAGGGUAAGUUGUUUUUUUUUUCUUUCCUUCAUUUUUAAUUUAGGCUCUCUUUAAUUUUCAUAAAAGAAUAAAUUAAAAUAUAUUUAAAAUUAAUAAAUUAUUUUUUAUAUGUUAAAACCAAAAAAAUGAGUUUUUUUUUUAAAUCUUUAUUUUAAUACCUUACAUAGAAUACCAAACAUAAAAAAGAUUUUUUUUAAAAAAAAAUUGAAUAUUAUGAGAUUUUUUUUUCUUUAUUUUUCUUAAGGUAUGUUUGGUUCUAAGGAAUGGAAAAAAAAUUAUGUAUUUUAAAAUUAUUUUAUAUUUAUGUAAUAAAAGAAAAUAAGAGAAAUUAGUUUGAAAAAGAAUAUAAAAAUAACUUGUUGAUUUUAGAUUUAUUUUUUAUUUUUUUAACUUUUUUUAUUUUUCUCUAUUUUUUUCUUAUACUUUCCUUCAAUUUUUUCCAAAACCAAACAUAAUUUAAUCCAUGUUAUAUUUUCUUUUGGGGAGAAUUGAGAUAAUAUUUUUCUCACUAUUACAUUUGAUUUAUUAUAUAUAUAUAUAUAUAGGGCAAAUUUGGAGAUCCAAGGGCCUAGAAGUUUUCAUACUGCCCAUCUCUCCAAUGGAAAAUCAAUACUGUUAUUGAGAGUGGUCUGCAUUCCAUGUCGUGUGUUAGCUGGCUUCCAAGUGGUAUAUAUGUUUCUUUUUUGUUAUAUUUCAAUAAAUUUAAUAAAUUAUUUUUAUAUAUUAUUUAAAUUUUUUGUAAUAUUUUAAAUUUCAAGCAAAUAAUUUCUUAUGUUAUUUUAAAAAUUCCUUUUAGUUCCAUGUGGACCGGAACAAUGAUGAAGACCUAUACACAGACUGGAACAGUGAUGAAGACACAGACUGGAAAGAUGAAGACGCAUAUUAUUGGAGCAGUGAUGAAGACACAUAUUGGAGCAGUGAUACUGAAGACACAGACUGGAGCAGUGACAGUUCCAGUGAUACUGAAGAGACAUAUUGGAGCAGUGAUGAAGACAUACACCUCGACGUUGGACACUUCAUUCUGAAUGCAGUGUAAGUUAUUUAGGGUGUGUUGGAUAAUAAUUUUUUUUAGAUAGUUUUAAUGAAAAUGAUUUUUUUAAAAAUAUUUUUAAAAGAAUCAUUUUAAAUAUUUUUUUAUGAAAUAUUAUAAUUGAUUUUUUAAUUUUUUUAAAAGUGUAUCCUUAAUUUUGUCUAACUUCUAAUUUCUUUUUCAAAAACCGUUUUUACUUAAAAAGUACUUUUAAAAAAUAUUUUCAAACCAACUAUUAUAUAUAUAUAUAUAUAUAUAUAUGUCAUUCUCAUCUUACUUUGCAUUAUUUGAAAUUUGAAUAUUUGUUUUUAAAAUAUAUAACUUUUAGUGAAAUUUUAGCAUACUUGAUUUUUUGUAAAAUUUUUUAUUUAAAUAAUAUUAUUUUUAAAAAUAGUUUUUAAAAUAUAUUUACAAAAAUACAACCCUUUAAAUAUUAAAAUCCUCUCUUCAAAAUAGGAUUUUUUUUUUUAAAAAAAAAGGAUUUUAUCAUUUUUUUUUUAAGAAUUAAAAAAAAAAAAACCAAUUUUAGCAUACUUGAUUUUUUGUAAAAUUUUUUAUUUAAAUAAUAUUAUUUUUAAAAAUAGUUUUUAAAAUAUAUUUACAAAAAUACAACCCUUUAAAUAUUAAAAUCCUCUCUUCAAAAUAGGAUUUUUUUUAUAAAAAAAAAGGAUUUUAUCAUUUUUUUUAAGAAUUAAAAAAAAAAAAAACCUUUCCUUAAGCCUUUUACAUCUUACAAUAUAUUUGUAUUAUAUUUGAUAACAAUGACGUUCUUGAUUUCAGAUUGUCCAAUUCCAUUCCGUGAGUUCGUGAAGCAAUUAGAGAAGUAGUGGAAUUCCUUCAAUAAAUUUUAUUUUGCCAUUAGCGAAGAAGUAGUGGAUUUACUUCAAUAAAUUUUAUUUUGUUUUUGGACUCUUUCUUGAUGUGGGAAUGGGAUUGACUGAAGCAUAAAUAAAUAAUCAAAUGAGAGGUCCAAUGAAUGGAUUUUAUCGCCUCUUCCAUUCAUUCCAAUUUUGCAUUUCUCAUCUUUUAUUUUUAUUUUAUUUUAUUCUUAAAUUUUGCAUGUAGCAUUGAGUAAUUGAAAAAGUAAUGCUAUAUAUGUAACAUUGGGCAUCAAUAUGCUUUUUAAAGAAACUAUUGAAUUAUUAUUCUACUAUAAAAAAAAUAUCGAUUUAUUUAGAGUUGUUUGAUAAUGAUUUUAGAAUAUAUUUGAUAGUGAUUUUGAAAUGUAUUUUAAAUAUUUUUAAUAUUUAAAAAAUAAAAAUUUUGUUAAAAAAAUUGAAAACACUUCCUAAAAUCACUCAUUUUUAUAUUUCUCAUUUAAAUAAAUUUAAAAUAUAUAAAAUUUUAAUUAUAUUUAAUUUUCUUUUAUAUUUUCUAUAGUAAAACCAAAUAUAAAAAAACUUAACAUUUCUUUCUUUCCUUAACCUUAACGUUUUUAUUGGGACACUACUUAUCAAAUAUAACCUCUAAAAUAAGGUUGUUGCUCACAAAAAGUCCUAUUAACUUUAGCAUCCAUUUCUCCUUCAAGAAAACUAGUAAGAGUGUGUUCCACAGUAUCUUCAUUCAAAUUGCUUUUAGAGAGACCGUUUUCUUUACAAAUGUUUCCAGGCAAAGUACUUUUUCAAAAGCGUUUCUUAUACUAGAAGUGCUUUCUAAAAGCACUGCUAAAGAGACCCUAAUUUGCCUCAACCCAUACGCUAGUAUGGUAGAGGGAGGCUCUUGCAUUGUGAUUGUUAGGAGAGACUCUUGCAUUGUGAGUGUUAGGAGAUUAAGUAGAAGACCUCAUCUUCAAGUCUACAUGUAAUAAAAAUUAUAAAAUGAUCCUGCGCCAUAUAUAAAAAAAAACUACAGAAAGUAAGAGGUGAUCAAAAGGGCGGUCAGUAGUCGAGCAGGCCAGGCCAGGUCGGAAGCGGACUGCUGGAGAACAUCUUCACAUUUCUCUCCUCCUAUAGAGCCCCCUCCUCCGUCGAGAGAGAAUGUCCCUCACAACUCCCUUCACCGUCGUAGGGCAAGAAGGGCAAGCACAAGAUUAUAACCACCUGAUGAGGGAUUUGCUCAUUGUGGACCAAUCAAGAAUGGAAGUUAACCAUAAGAUCAGCUGUCAUCAUCCGCGGCACCAAUGUAGGUGAGGUCUGUUCGCCGCACUCUCACAGUCCCUCUAAGCCACUUAGAUGCCCUAAGAUUAGCGUGGUCACCACUGCCAAUCACAGCAGUGUUACCUGAAGAUGGUCCGGCCCCUGCCCCGUCUUCCAAUUGCCUCCAUGGAUCAAUUUCUAUAUCGUGGUCCUGCUGCAACGGCAUAUUCUUUAGUUUCCCAGGUCGCACCAAAGAACUGGAAUUCCUUUGAGACUGGUUUGUAUUUCCAGGGUGGAAUGCAGGAAAUGAGAGGCUCGGUUGAAGUGAAGCAAGGGCGGCGGAGGAGACAGAUGGUGGCUGGCAAGAGAUGGAACACCGGCCAGAAGGGACAAGAAUUGGCAUUGCAGCUUGGAUACGCCAGCGGAUGCAAUUGCAUGCAAUCCAAGUCAUUCUGCACGAUAAAUAAGAUAUGUAGAGAGACCAUUCAGCAUUCUUCCUUUUUUUGCCUUAAGAUUUGAAGGUUGAACUAAAAAGUUCGUGCACACAAAGUGUUCGAAAAAGGAAGGGAGAAAAACAAAACUAUACAUGAAAUCGGGCAAUUCCCUAUGGUCAAACAAUUGUCAUCGAGAGAAUUUAAGGGUAUGCUCAUUAACAAUGAAAUAAUGUCAAAUAGUAUGUCAACAAAUAAUAGAAUAAAUUCUCUGCUCCCUCACGAUCAAAUCCAGAAAAUUCCUUGAUAGAUUCAGUGGUUGACUUUGAGGCAGGCUUCGACUUUAGCCAACUCGGCUGACAACUGCUCAACAAACCAUGGAGAACCAACAACAGCCGAUCAAAGAGACUUUGCCAGAUAAAUCAAGAGAAGCAGCAGUAGAAGCCUCCAUCAGUGACUCUGUCUCCCUCUUUGAGGGAGGACUCUGCAUGGAAUAAAGGGAGAGAUAAGUAUUACUGAGGCAAGACUUUGCCUCAUGUUUCGUGAUUGCUCCCUGACCAAGGACAAUAAAUUGUUUAAAUGCUUGUCCUUUGUAAUUUUACGCUGAAGGUACUUCACAAUUUGAAGAAAUGGCCAAACACAACCACACAUGCAUAAACCAAUUUGUGUUGUCCCACAUCGAAUAGGGGAGAAAGUUCCUAGUGCUAUACAUGUAGAGGUUCAUCUUAAUCAAGUAAACGCAUUUUAAAGCCGUGAGGACCCCUUUGGGUCCAAAGUAAACAAUAUUUACAUAGUUGGGAGCGGGUCGUUACACAAUUACUUCAAAAAAAAAAAGUCCAUUUGUUAGCCAAUAACUUGUAGGUGACCUACAAGAAAAAUCAGCAGAUUUGCAUAGGUUUGUAACAUAUGACUAGGUUAUUAGUGGAUCAAAAAGGCCAAAGCAAGCUUAUACAGCAAGAAUGAGUUAUCUGUGACCAACAUACAUGGGAACAAUUUCCAGUAAAACCAAACAAGCCACAAGACAAAGUGUUUCCGAUAAAACACACAGUAUUCAAUGAAUUGCACUGAGAGAAGCUUUAACGGGUUAGCAUAUAAUUACCCUUCUGCACAAAUGAUAGGAAGCAAUCUUAGGAGGAACUGCAACCCCAGUGCCAUGGAAGCUCGCAAUGCUGCAGGGGAGGGUCGUGCAGAAUCAGCUACUCCAGUUGGUCGCCUAGCUAAACCAGGAUUACCGCCUCUCAUACCUUUCCUUUUAUUGCCUUUGUUUGCAGGACCUUCAACUCCAGAAAGAACAGCUCCUGCCUGCUUAGUUGUCCCACGAGUAACUGUAUUUAUUUGUUGUUCAAUAAUAUGCCUCUGCUUGAUCAAAUCACUUGCAAAGGCAUUGCGUGAAUCAUCAGAGCUUUGAUCUAUGCAAGGAAGAACCAAUUCAACAAGAGCUCUCUCAGUUGCAUGCUGUUGGCUGACAUUGAAACCUUCAAAGUUAGACAUUUGGGUAGGACCCUUUUCCAUAUCUUUUGGAGUCUGUACCUUCUUCUACAACCUCCCCUUCUUCAAGGGAAGUGACUUCGAAUUUCUUCUUAUCUCCCUUGGUGGCAACUGGAUCCAAACUAGAAUAAGACCAACCCUAUGGCUUCCAAAACUGGACCUUAGUGGAGAGACCUUUACUCUCAGCAAUAUUAAUAAGUCGUUGUCUAAUGGAUUUCCUUCCAAAUAGAACAUCUUGACCUACCAAAAAUCCAUUUAGCUUGCAACAACGUUGAAUCUGCCAAGGACCUCCCAAACAAGUGCACCACCUCUGAGAAAAGGGUUGCGGCAUAAGGCCAGACAAGUAACCUUGUCAGAAUGAUCAGAAUGAAGUUGUUCUCAUUCAUAGAAGCCACAGUUUUUUCAGGGUUGGGUGAGAUAGAGUGAAUAGCCUCUGCUAAGGACACAUCAUGGUUGUUGAGUUUUUCAACAAGGGCUUGUUCAUUUAGCAAAAGCCUGAGCUCAACCCAUUGCCAAUGAAAUUUUGCAGGUUGCAGGGUAUCUAAAAUAUGCACUAGCUUAUCCAGAAGCUUGGUCUCAUUUUCUGCAUAUGGAACUUUCGAUUCAGCAUGUUCAGAAACCCAAUUUACAUCAUCUUGUGUGAAUAAAGUGUUUGGCAUUUUGCAAUCAAUGAUGGCAUUCAGGAAAAGCCUUGCACGUAGAUGAACAAAGGUCAUAGCUCUCAAGUGCAGAUCUGGACCAUUCAACUCUAACAUGGCUGCAAACUCAGAAUCACUGGCAUCUACAGCUACAAGAUCAUAGAAACUGUGAGUGUCUCUCAUACACACAUCCAGAAAAGGCAGAUGCUUUGUGGCAUCGCUUAUGGCCAUUGUUAAAGAUUGAUACAAUUGGUGGAUGUCCUCACGGUUUGUGAUGUUAGCAUUAAGAAUAAAUGGCCUCCAUACAACAAAUGAAAAUAUUGAAUAUGCAGGCGGAAAUACUAAAUUAAGAGGGAGUGUUCGUUGCAUCCUUGAUAGAGCUACUAUAGAUGGUUCACCCAUGAGAUCCACAACUAAUCCAUCACAAACAGUUUUGCAGUUCCCAAUCAGCAGCCUAAACCAAUGCACACAAACUUCAACUGAAUUAUCCACCUUAAAAGCCCCAAGUGACCUGGGAUUCCCAUUCGACUUAUAUCGUGUACUUCGUAUAAAUUGAAUAACAUCCAGGCCCUCCUUUAACCUGAAGACAGCUACCAUCCUCUCCAAGCUAAUGACUCCAUGAAUAACUGCCCCAAUAACAAGUGCUGACGCAGCAGCUAAAAUUUUGGUAGCUCUCCCAAGUUUGGCAGAGUUAUUCAGAAUUUCAUUUGACACGGAUGCAUUGGAAUCAUGAAUUUCAGGAGACAACUGAAACUGACUACGAGGAGCCUUUACAAGAGCAAAAGUUAUAGCAAAAGCAAACGAAGCUUCUACUGCAAGUGCUAUCUCAAAUACACGGCUUUAUCGCUCUCCAAGAGCUUUCUUAAGUAAGCAUAGUGUCACGGACUUAGUCUUUUCCUAAGCUCGUGCGGCACUUAGACAAGUCAAGACACUUGAUCUUGUUAAGUCAGCCUGACUCCCCAUGCUUAGCUUGCUAGGCUAAGAUGCUCACAACCGGAAAACUUUAGAAGUCGUGGUAGGCAACUCUUAAAGAAUGAAAACUUUUAUUACUCAAGGAAGCCUUUACAAGUGCUUUGAGAACUCACUUGCUUGGUGUCUUGGCCAAAUGAGCCCCCCCCCCCCCCCCUCGUCCCUCCCUCCCUUUCUUUCAAAUUUAUAGGCACCAAUGGACCUCUCUAGAACCUUGGAGGGUUCCUUACAAUUCAAGAACAUUCUAGAUCUUCCUACACUAAUCUAUGUACAAGAGGCUUUUAGAAUUCUCUAGAAAGCCCUGGACUCCUCUCAUGCCUUCCACCAGGGUGUAGAGAUGUGGAGACUUCUCUAGACAUUUCUAAAAGCUUCUACACUCUUCCCACUAAUGGCUAAGUGUAGGAGUCUCUAGAAGCUUCCUGGGCUCUAUAUAAACCCAUUGGGAGGCUCAUUUGAAGCAUCAUGUGACACUCUCCCUCACCUGAGCUGCAGACGUCCUCGUCGCACCUUCUGCCCGAAACUACUCAAUCUGCUCUUGGAAUUGCCAUAGUGCAUCUACUGGCUCCCAGCUAGCCUCGCUCUCUAGUAGUCCCUUCCAUUUCACUAAGUACUCCGUAGCAGGAGGCACACCUCAUCUCCUGAUGACUCGGUCUACAAUGAUGUGUUCUACCUCCUUGUCAUAGGAGGUCACGACUGUUGUAGGUGCCCUCUUAGACAACCCUCGGCUUGGAUCAUUCUUGUCUUCGUGAUAUGGUUUCAAGUAACUCACAUGGAAGAUAGGAUGGAUCUUCAACCUUGGUGGUAACUCAACUUUAUAGGACACCUUGGCGACCUUCCUAAGUAUAGAGAAUGGUCCUUCAUACCUCCUUACAAGGCCUUUAUGCAUUAGCCUUAAUGAUUUGAAUUGUUGAGGAAGGAGCUUGACAAGUACCAUGUCUCCAGCCUUGUACUCUAUGUGACAUCGCUUCUUAUCAGCCCACUUCUUAAUCUUCCUAGUGGCCCUGUCCAAGUAUGAGCGUGCUAUGUUAGCUUGCUCGUGCCAUCCUUUUGCCAACUUGAAAGCCAUCGGACUUCUCCCCAUAUAGCCUAUCAUUAAUGUGUGAGGAGUUAAGGGUUGCUGCCCUAUGGCUAGCUCAAACGGGCUCUUAUUGGUUGCCUUACUCCUUUGCAAGUUGUAUGAGAACUAGGCUAUAUCUAACAACUUAGCCCAAUCCUUAUGGUUGGCACUCACGAAGUGCCUCAAGUAUAGCUCUAGCAAGGCGUUCACCCUCUCAGUCUACCCAUCUGUUUGUGGGUGAAAGCUUGUAGAGAAGUGAAGCUCUAAACCCAUAAGCUUGAAGAACUCUAUCCAAAACUUCCCAGUGAAACGUGAAUCGCGAUCACUAAUAAUAUACUUAGGCAACCCCCAAUACUUGACUACGUGAUUUAAGAAUAACCUGACCAUCUCCUCCACAAUGCAGUCAAUAGGAGUUGCAAUGAAGGUCGUGUACUUAGAGAACCUGUCCACUACUACUAUGAUAGAGUCGUUGUCCUCUGACUUGGGUAGCCCGAUGAUGAAGUCCAUGGUGACGCUAUCCCAUAGGCGCUCUGCUAUUGGUAGUGGUUCCAAUAGGCCUCUAGGUUGUCCUUGUUCCACCUUGUCUUGUUGGCACACAAGACAAGUCCUUACAUAGGCCUCAACUUCAUCCUAUAUUUGAGGCCAAUAGUAAGCCGACUCGAGUAGUGCCCUUGUGCGUCAUUGCCCAAGGUGCCCAACCCACUUGGUGUCAUGACACUUCUUAAUCAGAUUUCACCUUAUAUUCCCCCACUUAGGCAUGUAGAUUCAUCUCCCCUUAGUGUAGAGUAGGUCGUCUUCCACCCAGAACCGCUUAGUCUUCCCUUGUUGAAUGCCAGGGCGAUGAGGCUCUUAGCCAUUGAAUCAUGUUGCAGCCCCUCCCUUAGAAGAUCCAUUAUGUCUCCUUGGGGCUAACUCGUCAUAAAUGCUAGCUCUGCCUUACGACUUAGGGCAUUGACCAUAUGAUUAGCACUUCUUGGCUUAUACUCCAGCGUAUGGUCGAACUCAACCAGGAAGUCUUGCCACCUAGCUUGCUUAGGACUCAGCUUCUUCUGUGUUUGGAAGUAGCUGAUGGCAACAUUAUCGGUCUUCACUAUGAAGUGAGACCCUAGAAGAUAGUGUUUCUAGGUGCGCAAGAAAUGGACGAUGGCGAUCAUUUCCUUUUCCUGCACUGUAUAGCGCUUCUCCGUGUCAUUUACCUUGUGGCUCUCGAAGGCGAUUGGGUGCCUAUCUUGCAUAAGAACUCUCCCAAUAGCGAAGUCUAAGGCUUCUGUGUGUACCUCAAAGACCUUGGUAUGGUUGGAUAAUGCCAACACCGGCUCCUCAGUCACAACCUUCUUCAAAUCCUUAAAGGCUUGUUGGCACAUUUCGUCUCAUUCCCAUGCCUUAUUCUUCUUAAGAAGAUCAGUGAGUAGAGAUGCCCUUGCCGAAUAGCCCUUGAUGAAUCGCUGGUAGUAAUUAAAUAAACCAAGGAAAGAUCUGAGUUGAGGUACCUUGGUUGGUGCAUCCCAUUCUUGGAUGACUUUCACUUUGCUAUCAUCCAUCAUCAGUUUGCCAUCCUUGAUGCGAUGCCCUAGGAAGUUCACUUCUUCCUUAGCAAAUAAGCAUUUCUCCUUCAUCACAUGUAGCUCAUUCUACCUUAGGAUCUUGAAGACCUUCCUUAAAUGCUCUACGUGCUCUUUCAGGGUGUUACUGUAGAUGACUAUGUCAUCCAGGUACACCACCACGAACUUGUCUAAGUAGGGGUGGAAGAUCUUAUUCAUGAGGGUGUAGAACGUUGCUGAGGCAUUGGUGAGGCCAAAGGGCAUCACUAAGAAUUCGUAUGAGCCAUACCUGGUCACACAUGUAGUCUUUGACUCGUCCCCUUCCGCAAUCCUUACUUAGUAGUAGCUUGACCUUAAGUCCAACUUCGUGAAGUAUCUCGCACUACCAAGUUGGUCAAACAAGUCAGCGAUGAGCGGAAUAGGGUACUUGUUCUUUAUCGUCACCUUGUUGAGUGCUCAGUAGUUGAUACACAUCCGUAAAGACCCAUCAUGUUUCUUUUGAAAUAGGACCGGCGCGCCAUAGGGAGCCUUGGAUGGUUGAAUGAACCCUGUGUCCAGCAACUCCUUAAGUUGUCUCCUUAGCUCCUCUAGCUCGGGUGGCGCCAUUCUAUAUGGCCCCAUAGCAAAGGGCUUAGCUCCUGGUUCCAACUCGAUCUUAUGAUCUUCCUCUCUCCUAGGAGGAAGUCUUUUAGGCAACUCAGGCAACAUCACAUCCUUGAACUCAUCAAGGACUCUUUUGAUUUCCUUAGGCAUGGGUUCUCCCGACUUUUUAUCAUUUUCUUCCUUAAGAGUGGCGAGGUAUGUCACCUCUUUCCUCUUUAACCCCUUCUUUACUUGCAUAGCCAAUAACAUAGGGGUCUUGGGUGAACCUUCGGUGAUCGUAGGGACCACGCAUGGCUUCUCUUCCUCUAGGAUAGCCAUUAAGCGUAGGAAGGGUAGUGGCAUAGCCUUGACCUUCUGUAGGAAGUCCAUCCCUAGUAUCAUUUUGAAGUCGUCCAUGGGUGCCACUGUGAAGUCAACCAUUCCUUCCCGUGAGCCGAUGUGCAUGGUCACUUCGCGAGCUACUCUAUGUGAUGGCUUGGCAGCUAAAUUAACUGCCUUGAGCCAACCUCCUUCUUUGGAUGCUUGGAGCUCCAGCCUCUUUGUCUCAUCCUCUGAGACAAAGUUAUGAGUGGCACUAGUGUCCACUAGGGUCUUGGUGCCCUUCCCAUUUACAAAGGUUUUUACAUACAUUAACCCUUUGUUUUGAGGCAUCUUAGGCACCGACUUGGCCUUAAGGGCGUUUAGGAGUUGUAAUGAUCCCACAUGAGCAUUACUCUCCUCUUUUUCCUCAAUCAUAGCAUUUAGGCAUUUCUUCUUAGGACAGUCCUGUGCCCAGUGUGGACCAUUGCAUAGGAAGCAGUUGGUCCUAAGCGUGAACUCCUUCCGCUUGUUUUUGCCCUUACCAUCCUUGCCACUAAAGGUCUUACUUGAUCAUUCCUUAGGGGUGUACCCUCUUGAUCCCUUGUCUCCCCCACUUUGAGCAUGACUACCCUUCGACUGUGGCUUGGGCUUGGAGGAGUCUCCCCUUUUAUAUUCCACCAAGGACUUUGCUACCUCCAUGGGCGUGGCUAGGUCUUGGACAUCGCGUCUCAUCAACUCUUGCUUGGCCUAACUUUGCAAGUUGUCCAUGAAGUUAAAUAGUAACUCCUCCUCAGACAUGUUGGAUAUCUCAAGCAUAAGUGUAGAGAACUCUUUGACAUACUCACGGAUCGAGCCUCUGUGCUUGAGACGCUUCAUAUUUUUCCUUGCCAAAUAGGCCACAUCUUCAGGGUAGAAUUGCCUUUUGAUUUCUUGCUUAAAAGCAUCCCAUGUAUCUAUGGUACACGUCUAUUUUUCUAUAUCGGCAAACCUCCGACACCACCAUAGAGUAGCAUUAUCAGUGAGGUAGAGGGUCGCGGUGCGUACCUUAAUAGCUUCAUCCGUCAGUGCGAUAACCUCAAAGUAGCUCUCCAUGUGCCACAAGAAGUUAUCCAACUCCUUAGCAUCCCUCUUGCCACUGAACGUGGGUGGCUUAGGCACCUCCACCCUUGGUGCCUCAUGAGUGGCCAUGACUCGUGCUGAUACAACAGUCUUAUAGAUGACCAACUCUUGUCGAAUCUCCUGAUCUCGGGCCUCUAUGCGCGCAGCCAAGGCCUCCACCCUUGACUCCACACUAGCGAACAUGUUCAUGACCUUGUCUUGGAAGGACAUAAACUCCUCGUGUGACACCGAUUGAACUUGUGAACCUAGCACCCCCUCACGAAGGUCUUGGAUCUGCUCCUUUAGAUCCUCUAAACCCUUCUCCAUGCCUUGCUUGAUCAAGUCCACCUAUUCCCGGGUAUCCGCCAUGGCUAGCUCCACCUUGGCUAGUCUUGCCUCCAUGUUGGCUAUGGUGUCAUGGGAUUUAUCCUUCCUGCCUCUACCUCGUGUAGUGGGCUCAGUCUCCCUCCCACGGGUUUGCUCGCUAGUUUCCUCAACGUUGGAGCCCGACAUGCUUUCCUUUACUAUGCCUGCUUCGUAGCUGCGCUUUGAUACCAAUUGUCACGGACUUAGUCUUUUCUUAAGCUCGUGCAACACUUAGACAAGUCAAGACACUUGAUCUUGUUAAGUCAGCCUGACUCCCAGUGCUUAGUUUGCUAAGCUAAGAUGCUCAUGACCUAAAAGCUUUAGAAGUUGUGGUAAACAACUCUUAAAGAAUGGAAGCUUUUAUUACUUUAGGAAGCCUUUAUAAGUGUUUUGAAAACUCACUUGCUUGGUGUCUUGGCCAAAUGAGUCCCCCUCCUAUUUAUAGGCACCAAUGGAACUCUCUAGAGCCUUGGAGGGUUCUUUACAAUUCAAGAACAUUCUAGAUCUUCCUACACUAAUUUAUGUACAAGUCUAUGUACAAGAAGCUUUUAGAAUUCUUUAGAAAGUUCUGGACUCCUCUCAUACCUUUCACUAGGGUGUAGAGAUGUGGGGACUUCUCUAGGCAUUUUUAGAAGCUUCUACACUCUUCCCACUAAUGACUAAGUGUAUAAGGAUACAAGUAAAUUGAAUUUGAGUACGAACAAUACUCUCUGAAAAUGUGUACGGCACACGCACACCACGCCUUUUAAGUACUAACCGAAAAAAGUACACUUUGAUAGGAGCUCAAACAUCAUCAAAAGAUUGAGAAUGUCACGCCCCAAGACCCACUCCAAGGGCGUGACGGUCAUUUCACACCUCAAACCCGAAGGCUUAAAGUAUAAUCUGACCCAAACAAUCAUAUUGUAACUAGAUGUUACCAAUUACCAAAUAUCUGUUCAGAGUAGCGGAACAAAAUCUAAAAUCCUCAAAAUUCAAUUUCCAAAUAACUUCCAAAUACCAAAAAAAUCCAAAUGAACAUAACUAAUAGUUAAACAAAAUCCAACAUAAAAUCCUAAGUCAAAUCCUAAUGAUGACCAUUUUUCAGCCUAGCCAUCACUCCUCACCCGAACUAAGAGUACCUGAAAAUUUUCAACAAUUGGGAAUGAGCUCACAGCCCAAUAAGGAAUAUUAAUGCAAUUCAUGGAUCAAAUAUUUUCAUUUCAAAUAGGAGAUAUCAAUUUUUUUUUUUCUCAUCAAAUAUCAGAGUUCCAAAAAUACCAAUAUAUUCAAAAUUCAACCAACCAAUUUCAUAUCAAAUUCAAACACUUUCACAUCAGACUCAAUCAAAUCCAUUCAAUUUUUUUUUCAUUACUCUGGUUAUCAAAUGUCAAAUGCCCAGUUAGGUGGGACUUUUCAAAUGGGUGGCUAGCCUCAAAUUGUUCCUGGUGGACGGAACCAAACACUACUAGUACUAGUAACCUCUAACCAAACCCCUAGAGGCUGGGGUUCAAAUCAAUUACAUUCCCACCAUGAAAUGUAAAGGUCAACUAUUAUAUCCCGUUGACAGGGCCCAAUAGUCAACUAUUAUAUCCCGUUGACAAGGGCCAAAUAAACCAGAGUGAUGUUUUUGUUCAAGUAUUCAAAUUUACACAACAUAAUAUCUCCAUAUUUUGUAUCAUAAAUAAAACAAAAUAUUCCAACAUAAUAUUUAGUGCAAAACAAUUUGAUCCAUGCAUGGUAACAAAAUAUAAUUUUAUUUUCCACAAUUCAAAAUAACAUAUAAAAUAAUUUAAUUUUAUAAAUAUUGCAUUAACUUCCCUUACCUCAAAAGAAGUCCUUGAAAGCUUGGGAGAAGAAUAAUUCUGAAAAAAAAUAUAAUCUACUCUUCACCUAAUAUAACAUAAGAGAAACAAUUAUUACUAUUUAUUUAUAAUUUAACUAAUCUAUUCCUUAUUUAAAUAAAACUAAUAAAUUUCCAAUUUGUUUCUAAUAACACAUUACUAAUUUAAUUAAAUUAUAACUUUAUUUCGUUAUAAAAUUCUAUAUAUAUAUAUAUAUAUAUAUAUAUAUAUAUAUAUAUAUAUUGCUAAAUCUCUUAUUCUAUUUAUUACAAAAAUACCAUUAUUACUAUUAUCUUAUUUAUAAAUCUAAAACUAAAUAUUAUUAUUUAAUUAACCAAUUCCAAACCACUCAACCUCGGGUACACCAAACCAAAAAGCAAAUUUUUUUUUUUUUUUUUCAUUGCCCUCAUGAUCCAUUAUAUAUAUAUAAAAGAGCUUCCGGGCACACGCCCCUUUUGUUUUUUUGUUUUUUUUUUUUUGUUCCAUGCUUCCAGUAGCACAGUGCACACGCCCUUUUUCUUUUUUUUUUUUUUUUUUUUUUUUUUCCAUGCUUCCGGUAGCACAGUACACGUACGCCCUUUAUUAUUAUUAUUAUUAUUUUAUAAUAAAAUUGACCCUAACCUAAAAUCGAAACCUUCUAAGAAUUUUUUUUUUUUUUUUUAAUUAACCCUAACCUAAAAUCGAAAUAUUCCAAGGAAUUUUUUUUUUUUUUUCUAAUAAAACUAAGAUCUCCCAAAUUCCAAUACUAAAAUCAAAAUAUUAAAUUUUCACUAUUUGAUAUUAAAACGAAUUAAAAAAUAAUCUAACCCUAAUCUAGAUUUGGGGUUUUCCAAAAAAAAUAUAUCUAAUGUGUUUGAAAUUAAUCAAUGAAUCUAAAAUAUUAAACUAGGGGUUAGAAUCUUACCUAUAGAGAUCUGUUCUUCAACCCUGAAAUCUGACUCCAACCUUACGUUCUCUGGAAUUCUGCGAACAGGAACUCUAUUCAGAAAAGAAGGGAAAGAAUAAAAUUUCUAAUUUAUACCUAGGGUAUUUAUUCGUAAAAUUACACUUUUACCCCUCUUCCACUUUAUUAAAUUAAUUAAUCAAUUAAUUAAAUUAUUAAUAACAAUUUCCUAAAUUACCCUUAAAAGAAAUGCAUGGGCGUUACAGAGAACUCCCCAAAUGAAGGGUACAAGGGUAAAGAAAGAGAAGUAGUUUCAUUUUCUUUUCUGACUUUCAUUAACCGACAUGGUCUUCAAAGAAGAUGAACAAAUGCCACUACCGGCUGUCUUUGUUGCCAGUUCAGAUGUUUUUACCAGGCUGAGCUAUGGAGAGCAUUUGUUAGAAAAAUCCAACAAAAUGGCACCACAUGUAGAAAGUGAACAGAAAAAUCCAAUAUUGUCAUGGUCCUAACUUCUAACUCCUAACUAGAGAUACAAGCACAGUUCGGUGAGGAAGAUACUUACCUUACCUUCGAAGAAAAGGUGAAAAUCAUACAUACAUGGUAGAUGGAUUUCAAUUUCCCAACAAACAGCCCUGACACCACCCAGAGUGAGUUUGUACAAGUCCGACUUUUGAAAAUAAUGCAUUUAGCUUUCUUUUUCCAGAAAAUACUACUUUUCAAGCGUUUUACAAUGGGCAAAAUAUUUUAAAAUAUAAUUUUUUUUACGUUUGGUUUUUCAUGCAAAAUAAAUAUACUUAAAAUUAAUUAAAAAUUCAUAUAUUUUAAAUUUAUUUCAUUUUUAUAUAAAUAAAAAUAAAUAAAUAAAAAACAAGUUAAAUGAGUUUUAAAAAGUAUAAAUAAUUUAUUAAUUUUAAUUAUAUAUUUUAUUUUCUUUCACAUUUAUUUUCUUCUAUUUUUUCUCACUUUUCAUAAAUAAUAAUUACUAUUAUUACUAUAUAAAAAAAAUUGAAGGAAAAAUGGGUGGUUGGGAGCGACAAUUUGAAACAAAAUCAAGAACCAUCUUGCCCAAAGGACUGCUACCAAAAAGGAAAAUUAAAAAAGGGUGGGGGGUUGGGCGUAUUCCAUGGUACCAAGAUAACCCAAGCUGAUGAAAGGUUAUAUUAAAGAGACUAAUCCUAAAGGUUAUUUCUGUUUAAAAAUCAAAUUAUAAAAAUGGAUUUUGUGGAUUCAAUUUUCAAUAACCAUAAAGAUAAUUUUAAAAACUGAUUUUGUUAAUUUGAAUUUCAGUUUUCUUGCUUUCAAAUCAAUAAAACCCAAACUAAACAACAUUCAAAGAUUUAUAUAUAAUUAUUUAAUAUUUAAUGAUUUUUUUUUGCAUGCUUCUUCUAAAAUAAUUUAUUAUUCUUAGACUAUGAUUAAAUUAAUUUUUAAAAGCAUUUUUACAUUUUGUACUAAAAAUAUUAUGAUUUUAAAUCCAAGUUGGCUUUAAGCAAUUUUCUAAAAAACUUUGAUUUAGGGUCUAAAUUAACUUUCAUCUAAAUCGGACCAAAUCAAACCUUAAUCAAAUUAGAUUGGUUCAACUUUUUCCAUCAUUAAAAAGUCGGUCCAAUUUUGAUGAAUAAAGUCUCAGAAAACCAACGAAACCAUGCCCUUCUAACACUAGACCCUUUGAUAUUUUCAAGAGUUUCACUACCCCUCUUGUCAUCUUUAGCUGUUAACACCACUCAAAAACUCAUAAGCACUCUUAACUGCCUAAAUAUUUCCAACCCCGUAAAACCGAUUAUGUGACAGGUUCAAAUAAACCCAACUCGUUGAGCUGAUAAACACGUAAACUUAACUUCAUUUUCCUCAGCAGCCAAAACCAUAUGAACUCCAAAAACAUAAAAUAUGACGAUGCAUAAAACUAAGUCAACAGUCUAUCAUGUACUUCAUAGACCAUCCAAUAUAAAAGAUCAUAAGCAUUUCUGGGUGAAGGUAUUAGCCUAAGAUUCAUGCAAAGUUGCAAGCCAUAGGAAAAGCAACAAACAGAGUCUCUAUGCUAUGUUGCUCUUGUUUCAUAUCUAGCAAUGAACCGUUUUCAGUUAGAAGUCAGACACUUCCUUCCUAACAAAGAAUAGACCAGAAGGCCCGCCAUCAGGCAGCAGAGCCAAUCUAACAGGGCUUUCAGCGCCUUCCUCAACAGUUAAGAUGCCACUAUUGUAGUUUAUAUCUGUCUUGACAUAGCCAGGGCAGACACAGUUGAUGCAGAAAGUCGGGUACUUCUUGGCCAGAAGCCUCGUGUAGGCAUUCAAGGCUGCUUUCGAGACUCUAUAGGCAGAGAAAAAAGUGGGCCAGCUCUUAGCUUCUAAUAACCCCUCUUUGAAAUCUUUUAGAAACUGGUUCAACACCUCUAUCACUGUCUCUUCUGUAAGGUUUUCAGCAUCACUUAACACUCCUUUUGCCCAUUCAUUUGGAAUAUUCUGGAACAACACAGCAAGAAAGGCAAUGUAAGAAGGCCUUUAUUGCAAACACAUUUCCCAUUUUGGAAACAGAAACUUCUAAUCCAAAGAAAUCAAGUGACUGGGAAAUGAUUCAUGGAGCCUCUUCACUGCUGUCUAAAGAGAAGGCCUCUAUGAAAUAAAGGAAAAAAGGAUUGAAUAAUUCACACAAACAGAAGGGAAGGAAUUCUUAAUCAUUCACAACAGCUCUUAUCAUAGCAUGCAUUAUCUCCAUACAAGUACCCUAAUCUGACAUCAUCAAUCAUCCCUUCUCUUGAUAUGGUUUUCUUCCAAACAAACCAAGAUGUAACAAGCAGGAGAUUUCUUGUUAAUCUAAAACUUCAAUAAGUUCACCACCAGAUUUGACUCUGUUGACUUAACCAAGGCAAUCUAUCUGGUUUCCCAUUGAAUCAAAUGGCUUCCUAUCAACUUUGUUGAAUUUCAAGUCCAAUCAUCCAGUUCUAAACUUGGUUGAACAUCAAAAAUGAGUGCCAACAUUUUAUUUUUGAAUGAGGGUUAAUAUCAUUUUUGUACCUGCAACUUCCCACCGGAGGAGGAAAC